rnacentral:rRNA from 1 species
GAUUUCUGGACUCUAAAAUUUGGCCGGCCACGGUUUCGUGUGUUAGUGCUUUGUUUUGUGUCCAUCCUUCCAAUUGCUAUUGGCUAUUCUUCAUUGAUUGGUCAGUAGUAUUGGAUCUUUUACUUUGAAAAAAUUAGAGUGUUUCAAGCAGGCUUUAUGCUAUGAAUACAUUAGCAUGGAAUAAUAAUUUAGGACUUCGGUUCUAUUUUGUUGGUUUCUAGGACUGAAGUAAUGAUUGAUAGGGAUAGUUGGGGGUGCUAGUAUUCAGCGGCCAGAGGUGAAAUUCUCGGAUUCGCUGAAGACUAACUUAUGCGAAAGCAUU